rnacentral:rRNA from 1 species
CCUACGGGAGGCAGCAGUAGGGAAUAUUGCUCAAUGGGGGAAACCCUGACGCAGCAACGCCGCGUGGAGGAUGAAGGUUUUCGGAUCGUAAACCCCUUUCGUUAGAGAAGAUAAUGACGGUAUCUAACGAAUAAGCACUGGCUAACUCCGUGCCAGCAGCCGCGGUAAUACGGAGGGUGCAAGCGUUACUCGGAAGCACUGGGCGUAAAGAGCGCGUAGGCGGGAUAGCAAGUCAGAUGUGAAAUCCUAUGGCUUAACCAUAGAACUGCAUUUGAAACUGUUAUUCUAGAGUAUGGGAGAGGUAGGUGGAAUUCUUGGUGUAGGGGUAAAAUCCGUAGAGAUCAAGAGGAAUACUCAUUGCGAAGGCGACCUGCUAGAACAUAACUGACGCUGAGGCGCGAAAGCGUGGGGAGCAAACAGGAUUAGAUACCCGUGUAGUC